rnacentral:rRNA from 1 species
AUUGAACGCUGGCGGAAUGCUUUACACAUGCAAGUCGAACGGCAGCACGGACUUCGGUCUGGUGGCGAGUGGCGAACGGGUGAGUAAUGUAUCGGAACGUGCCCAGUCGUGGGGGAUAACGUAGUGAAAAUUACGCUAAUACCGCAUACGAUCUAUGGAUGAAAGCGGGGGAUCGCAAGACCUCGCGCGAUUGGAGCGGCCGAUAUCAGAUUAGGUAGUUGGUGGGGUAAAGGCACACCAAGCCAACGAUCUGUAGCUGGGCUGAGAGGACGACCAGCCACACUGGAACUGAGACACGGUCCAGACUCCUACGGGAGGCAGCAGUGGGGAAUUUUGGACAAUGGGCGAAAGCCUGAUCCAGCCAUUCCGCGUGCAGGAUAAAGGCCCUCGGGUUGUAAACUGCUUUUGUACAGAACGAAAAGGUUUCUACUAAUACUAGGAGCUCAUGACGGUACUGUAAGAAUAAGCACCGGCUAACUACGUGCCAGCCGCCGCCGUAA